UUCUCCUACGGGAGGCAGCAGUGGGGAAUAUUGCACAAUGGGGGAAACCCUGAUGCAGCAACGCCGCGUGAGUGAAGAAGUAUUUCGGUAUGUAAAGCUCUAUCAGCAGGGAAGAAAAUGACGGUACCUGAGUAAGAAGCCCCGGCUAACUACGUGCCAGCAGCCGCGGUAAUACGUAGGGGGCAAGCGUUAUCCGGAUUUACUGGGUGUAAAGGGUGCGUAGGUGGCAGGGCAAGUCAGAUGUGAAAGCCCGGGGCUCAACCCCGGUACUGCAUUUGAAACUGUCAAGCUGGAGUGCAG
rnacentral:rRNA from 1 species